rnacentral:miRNA from 1 species
UCACCGGGUGAUCGAUUUGCUU